rnacentral:misc_RNA from 1 species
GGCAGAGGCACCACUCCAAACCCUCCUCGAAAUUUGCUUCACCAUGGGAGGCUUCCAAUACUUAUUAUUUAAAUUAUUGUCUUUAAUUAUUCCAUUAUAAUUAUUUUCUCUAAUAUUAUGAUUAUUAGAUAUAGAGGGAAGCCAUUUGCAAUGCAUGUAAGUGGAAGUUCUCCAAGGAGGUAUGUGGAGCCCACUUUCCUUAAGGGACUGUUUGGCUGCUGAGCAUAAAAUUGAGAUUAUUCUCUUAACUUUCUCUUCACUUCCUACAAACACUGAUGGAAGUGCUUCUAUGAGCUGCUUGUAGCUUUCUGUUGCUCUUGCUACUUCAAAUUGAGCUUUGAACUCUAUGUCUAUUAUCAGCCUCUCAACAUUCCCAUACUCAUCCUUCACUUUCAUGUCUAUGUACUCAUAGUCCCCUGCUGGGCAGCCCAUGGAAGUGACCCAAGAGGUAUGACAAAGAUCAGAAGAAUCAUAGCCGUCCAUUUUGAGCUUCAUCACAAGCCAUUUCUUGAGGCUGCUAGUCUUGGUUUUGGGAGCAUGUCUUUUCCAGCUUCUCAAGUGCUUCAUCACUGUGUCACCCACCUCUCCUUCUGCUUUUAUUCCACUCCCAAGAAUCUCUUUUAAGCUGAAAAAAUAAUGGGAUUUGGAAUUGAGAGGAAGAGAAUUAGAAGAAUUAGCAAAAGUAGAAGAACUUGGUGUUUGAUCUGCUGAUUCAAUAAAAUCAUCAACCAUUUGAACUAAUUUUUCCUCCUCCAAACUUCCCAUUUUUCUUACUCUAAAUUUCUCUCUCUAGGAGCUGCCAACAACUCAAUUAGUAACCUACAAAUAAUCUAUAAGGAAAGAGAGAUAAUUUAAUAAGUUUUUGGAGAGAGAAUAAUGGUUUUU